rnacentral:tRNA from 1 species
GCUGAGGUAGCCUAGCUCGGUCAAGGCGCCGGUCUCGAAAACCGGUGGGGGUUCACUCCGCGGGAGUUCAAAUCUCCCCCUCAGCG